CCUACCCACGUCCAGAUUUUUCGUUCGUAGGUAUCUGUAUCUUCCUUUCCUUUUCCCACCCUCGCUUGAUCUGGAUUCAGAGGAGGGGUUGCUCUGUAUGGCGGCGGCGUCAAGCGCCGGCAGCGUCACCUGGAUCUCCUCGAGCCAGGGCCCUCCGCGCGCCAGCACCUUCCCCAUCGCGCGCGAUCUGUCCGCUCUGACGCACGGUGAGCGCGCUGCCGCCGCCUUGUCACCGACGUCCUGAUCCAUCGGCGGCAACGGCGGCUCCUUCUGGCCGGAUCAAGGCGCGGAGACCCGUGGGAUCCCCUCCUUCGGCAGGACCUCCUCAUCUGAUUGCAUUCUUGCACGGACAGAGAGUGGAACACCACCUUCAGUUUCUCAUCUGAUCCCACUUGUGGACUCCAUGAAUGAAGUAAGAUAACAAUCCAUUGGUCAAUUACAUUGCCUCUUUAGAUGGUUUUUAGUGGGCGUCAGACUUGGUUUAGAUGGCUUUUGUUGUGAAAGAAAACUUAUCUUUCUAAAGACUGUACUCUGAAUCUUACAUCUCAUACUUGAAUUUUUUUGCAUAAUUUUUUUAGGCCUGAUGUGUAUCCAACGGCAUGGGAGAUUAAAGAUUUUCAUGAGACUGACGAUUGUGAUUUUGGCCCUGUACUGAAUAAUUUUGUGAGCGACUGGGUGAUGAUGAUUACAAGCCAGGAGGACUGCAUGUGAUGAGUUAAGGCACAAGAACUAUGACCAUUUUAGCUCCAGCAGUAAGUACACAACUAAUCAACAAUGCAUUUUCACGACCCAGACUUCUGCAUUCUGGCUGACAGGCUCGCUGGCACAGCCACAUAAUCUCAUGCAUUCA